ACACAGGGACGCCGGAACUGGGGGGGCAGGGGGGGCGGCUGCCCCCCUUGCCUUUUGCUAGGGGGGGCAGGGGGGGCAGAAGUGCCCUUUUAGUUGUAAAAUAAUACGUGAUAAAUCACAUUUCCAACGAUGCUUUUUGUAGGAAAAUCACGAGAUUCAGGUCAUUUAUAGUUUAUAUUUAUAAAAAUUUUGGGAAAUUUUUG